rnacentral:rRNA from 1 species
GGCUCAUUAUAACAGCUAUGAUUUACUUGAUCUUGAACAGUUACUCGGAUAACUGUGGUAAUUCUAGAGCUAAUACGUGCACCGAAGCUACCUCUUGCGGGGUAGUGCAUUUAUUGGAGCAAAACCAAGCGGCUUCGGCCGUUUUUGCUGACUCAGAAUAACUAAGCUGAUCGUAUGGGCUUGUCCCGACGACGUGUCUUUCAAGUGUCUGCCUUAUCAACUUUCGAUGGUAGUGUACGUGACUACCAUGGUGUUGACGGGUAACGGAGGAUAAGGGUUCGACUCCGGAGAAGGGGCCUGAGAAAUGGCCACUACGUCUAAGGAUGGCAGCAGGCGCGCAAAUUACCCACUCUCGGCACGAGGAGGUAGUGACGAAAAAUAACGAGACCGUUCUCUACGAGGCCGGUCAUCGGAAUGGGUACAACUCAAACCCUUUAACGAGUAUCAAUGAGAGGGCAAGUCUGGUGCCAGCAGCCGCGGUAAUUCCAGCUCUCAAAAUGCAUAGAAUCAUUGCUGCGGUUAAAAAGCUCGUAGUUGGAUCUGUGCUGGCGACGUGGUCCACCUUAACGCGUGAUACUGCGCUCGUCGGCUUUGGGCUGGUCUUCGGUCGGUCGCCUUCACUGGUGGCUGCUCGUGGCUGGCUGGUUUACUUUGAGCAAAUCGGAGUGCUCAGCACAGGCGUAUCGCCGGAACGUUCGUGCAUGAAAUAAUAGAAAAGGAUCACG